UACGGAGGGUGCAAGCGUUAUCCGGAUUUACUGGGUUUAAAGGGUGCGUAGGUGGGUCUGUAAGUCAGUGGUGAAAUCUCCGAGCUUAACUCGGAAGCUGCCAUUGAUACUAUAGAUCUUGAAUAUCCUGGAGGUGAGCGGAAUAUGUCAUGUAGCGGUGAAAUGCUUAGAUAUGACAUAGAACACCAAUUGCGAAGGCAGCUCACUACGGGAUUAUUGACACUGAGGCACGAAAGCGUGGGGAUCAAACAGG
rnacentral:rRNA from 1 species